GACGAACGCUGGCGGCGUGCCUAAUACAUGCAAGUAGAACGCUGAAGAGAGGAGCUUGCUCUUCUUGGAUGAGUUGCGAACGGGUGAGUAACGCGUAGGUAACCUGCCUUGUAGCGGGGGAUAACUACUGGAAACGAUAGCUAAUACCGCAUAACAAUGGAUGACACAUGUCAUUUAUUUGAAAGGGGCAAUUGCUCCACUACAAGAUGGACCUGCGUUGUAUUAGCUAGUAGGUGAGGUAAUGGCUCACCUAGGCGACGAUACAUAGCCGACCUGAGAGGGUGAUCGGCCACACUGGGACUGAGACACGGCCCAGACUCCUACGGGAGGCAGCAGUAGGGAAUCUUCGGCAAUGGGGGCAACCCUGACCGAGCAACGCCGCGUGAGUGAAGAAGGUUUUCGGAUCGUAAAGCUCUGUUGUAAGUCAAGAACGGGUGUGAGAGUGGAAAGUUCACACUGUGACGGUAGCUUACCAGAAAGGGACGGCUAACUACGUG
rnacentral:rRNA from 1 species